UAAUCUCACUACCAUCGACUUUUGGUCUUUCGGUAUGUGGACCUGGAUGUUGCCGUGAAUAUCUACGGCUCGUCUGAAAUGCCUGAGUGUACCCCGCUUUGCGGCGUAUUCGGUGUGAUACAUCUUCACCGGAGUUGAUCCUUUGUGGUCGCGUCUGUAAUGGUGUGGCUCUAUGCUUCGAACCGUCUACCCUGUGGACAAUCUCUGACA
rnacentral:misc_RNA from 1 species